CCCGCUGAACUUAAGCAUAUCAAUAAGCGGAGGAAAAGAAACUAACAAGGAUUCCCCUAGUAACUGCGAGUGAAGCGGGAAAAGCUCAAAUUUAAAAUCUGGCAGUCUCUGGCUGUCCGAGUUGUAAUCUAGAGAAGCGUCUUCCGCGCUGGACCGUGUACAAGUCUCCUGGAAGGGGGCGUCAUAGAGGGUGAGAAUCCCGUCUUUGACACGGACUACCAGUGCUAUGUGAUGCGCUCUCGACGAGUCGAGUUGUUUGGGAAUGCAGCUCAAAAUGGGUGGUAAAUUCCAUCUAAAGCUAAAUACAGGCGAGAGACCGAUAGCGAACAAGUACCGUGAGGGAAAGAUGAAAAGAACUUUGGAAAGAGAGUUAAACAGUACGUGAAAUUGCUGAAAGGGAAACGCUUGAAGUCAGUCACGUUGGCCAGGGAUCAACCUUGCUUUUGCUUGGUGUACUUUCUGGUUGAUGGGUCAGCAUCAAUUUUGACCAUUGGAAAAAGGUCAAGGGAAUGUGGCAUCUUCGGAUGUGUUAUAGCCCUUGGUUGCAUACAAUGGUUGGGAUUGAGGAACUCAGCACGCCGCAAGGCCGGGUUUUUAACCACGUACGUGCUUAGGAUGCUGGCAAAAUGGCUUUAAUCGACCCGUCUUGAAACACGG
rnacentral:rRNA from 1 species